rnacentral:rRNA from 1 species
GCCUGGGAAACUGGGUCUAAUACCGGAUAGGAGCGUCCACGCGCAUGGUGGGUGUUGGAAAGAUUUAUCGGCCGAGGAUGGACUCGCGGCCUAUCUCGAUGUUGGUGAGGUAAUGGCUCACCAAGGCGACGACGGGUAGCCGGCCUGAGAGGGUGACCGGCCACACUGGGACUGAGACACGGCCCAGACUCCUACGAGGAGGCAGCAGUGGGGAAUAUUGCACAAUGGGCGAAAGCCUGAUGCAGCGACGCCGCGUGAGGGAUGACUGGCCUUCGGGUUGUAAACCUCUUUCAGUAGGGAAGAAGCGAAAGUGACGGUACCUGCAGAAGAAGCACCGGCUAACUACGUGCCAGCAGCCGCGGUAAUAAUGCGGGUGCGAGCGUUAUCCGGAAUUAUUGGGCGUAAAGACGCUCGUAGGCGGUUUGUCGCGUCUGUCGUGAAAGUCCGGGGCUUAACCCCGGAUCUGCGGUGGGUACGGGCAGACUAGAGUGUUUU